UACGUAGGGUGCGAGCGUUGUCCGGAAUUAUUGGGCGUAAAGAGCUCGUAGGCGGUCUGUCGCGUCGAUCGUGAAAACUUGGGGCUUAACCCUGAGCUUGCGGUCAAUACGGGCAUGACUGGAGUUCGGCAGGGGAGACUGGAAUUCCUGGUGUAGCGGUGAAAUGCGCAGAUAUCAGGAGGAACACCGGUGGCGAAGGCGGGUCUCUGGGCCGAUACUGACGCUGAGGAGCGAAAGCGUGGGGAGCGAACAGG
rnacentral:rRNA from 1 species